ACGGGUGAGUAAUGCCUAGGAAUCUGCCUGGUAGUGGGGGAUAACGUUCGGAAACGGACGCUAAUACCGCAUACGUCCUACGGGAGAAAGCAGGGGACCUUCGGGCCUUGCGCUAUCAGAUGAGCCUAGGUCGGAUUAGCUAGUUGGUGAGGUAAUGGCUCACCAAGGCGACGAUCCGUAACUGGUCUGAGAGGAUGAUCAGUCACACUGGAACUGAGACACGGUCCAGACUCCUACGGGAGGCAGCAGUGGGGAAUAUUGGACAAUGGGCGAAAGCCUGAUCCAGCCAUGCCGCGUGUGUGAAGAAGGUCUUCGGAUUGUAAAGCACUUUAAGUUGGGAGGAAGGGUUGUAGAUUAAUACUCUGCAGCUUUGACGUUACCGACAGAAUAAGCACCGGCUAACUCUGUGCCAGCAGCCGCGGUAAUACAGAGGGUGCAAGCGUUAAUCGGAAUUACUGGGCGUAAAGCGCGCGUAGGUGGUUUGUUAAGUUGGAUGUGAAAUCCCCGGGCUCAACCUGGGAACUGCAUUCAAAACUGACUGACUAGAGUAUGGUAGAGGGUGGUGGAAUUUCCUGUGUAGCGGUG
rnacentral:rRNA from 1 species